UACAGAGGUCCCGAGCGUUGUUCGGAUUUACUGGGCGUAAAGAGCGCGCAGGCGGUCGAUCAAGUCGAGUGUGAAAGCCCCCGGCUCAACUGGGGAGGGUCAUUCGAAACUGGUCGACUCGAAGGCAGGAGAGGGUAGUGGAAUUCCCGGUGUAGAGGUGAAAUUCGUAGAUAUCGGGAGGAACACCGGUGGCGAAGGCGGCGACCUGGGUAGAUACUGACGCUGAGGCGCGAAAGCGUGGGGAGCAAACAGG
rnacentral:rRNA from 1 species